AGAGAGAUAGCUCCAUUGUUAAAAUGCUUGCCCUGUAAGCAUACGAACUAGAGUUUGAUUUCAAGAAUCCAUUUUUUUUUAAAGCCAGGCAUGGCGACUCCUAGUGCUGGGAUAUACAGACAGACAGACAGAUCCCUAGGACUCACUGGCCAGGUGCCUAGCUUAGUGAGUGAGCCACAGACCAACAAGGCAGGUGACACUUUUUUCAAGGCACAAACCUAGAGAUUGUCCUUUAACUUCCACAUGCACAAGCAACUGUACCAUACACACACACAUGCACACACACAUGCACACACACACACACACACACACACACACACACACACAAAUAAAAAAGAAAGAAGAAUGACAGAUAUUUUCAUCCUGGCUCGCACAGGCCUGGCCAGGGCCCCCGAGAGCUCACUUAACCCACUGUCCCCAACUUUCUAGUAGAUAAGAACUAGGGACCACCUAAAUUGUAAGGUGGCACUUGUGUCACGGUUUAUAGGCACGCCACAAAUUUAUUAAGAUGACUUGUCUUACAACAGUGCCAACUUCAUUUAUUAGCUUUCUGCCGCAGAGCAACCCUGUUGGGUUACCACCACUUUCUGUUAGGUAAAGCCAUACCCAAUUCCAAUUAAGUCAAAGAAUGUCUAAUUUCCUGAAGUCAGGAUUGAGGUCAUAGCCUAGAGGGCUCAGGAAUUCCAAGUGUAACUAAUCCAUCAAAUUAUGAUUACAGAGAGGAAAUACCCUAUCAAUAUCCGAUGUGCUGAGAGGGUCACCUGCUGGUGACCAAUCAUUCUGAAUAGCCAUGCCCCGUCUGAGUGGACUGGGCUGGUGUGUGUGUGGUGUCUCCUAGGUGUGAGUCCCAUUCUGGAACUGGUCAGCUUCCUUUCUGAUAUCCUGUUUCUGUUGAAAUGUGAAGCACUUGCAGGCUGCUGUGGCAAAAGGGGUUGGCUUUUGCUCCUUCCAUGUCACCUGUGCUUCCUCCUGAAGUCCAAACUCCUUCAUCCAUGGUGUGUGUGUGUGUGUGUGUGUGUGUGUGUAUCUUCCAAAAGGGGGGUAGGAUGGAGAGAGAGAGAGAACAGAAGAGGGGAAAGUGAAGGGGCAGGGGGAGAGAAAAGAGGGGAAGGAAGAGAGGGAGGGAAAGGAGAGAGUAAGAAAGGGAGAGAUGGGAGGGGUGGAAAAGAGAGGAAAAAAGGAGAGGGAUGAGGAAGGAGGAGGAGACAGAGAGCAUGAACAUUCGAAUGCGUUGGUCAUAUUUUAUAGAAUCUUGCCACAUUCUGCUUCUUGGAGAAAAUGGCUUAUCUUCAGUGUCAUUGUCCCUAUUUUAUGGGGCCAUGCUCCUGAGAUGGAUCAUCCUAUAGCUUCCCUUUGGCUAUAGAGAGGACGACCCCUGGCUGUGGUCCCAUUACUUUACAGCUAUUGAUAGAGAUAAUUCUAACAAAGUCGAAAGUGAAAUGGAAACGCAGUUUAAACACUCUAGUCUUGACCCAGCAAUGGCCUCUCUCUCCCCAUCCUGCUACAAAUAGGAGGCAGGGACCUGAUAAUUCACCCCCUUGGUAAUUCGCAUCUAACCCCAGCAGAUGGUUUUGUUUAAUCCUUUUAUUUUCCCCUAAAUCAUAUAACGGGAACUCACAGAUUAGGGGAGAAGAGCCGAGAGUUUUGGAGGCGUGUGUAACUGGGAUCUGGGUGGAGGAACCUGACUUUUCUCACUAUGGUUUUCCCAUGGAUACCACCAGAGGUGUAAGAUGCCUUCAGAGUUGUUCUGCAUGUUAGGUGGGCAUCCUCCGGGACAGUCCUCAGCUGUGUGCCCAGAACAGACAUGGUGACCUGCUGAAUGCACUUGACCUGGUGUUCCUGCCCCUCCUACCUUUGGGGCCCUCUGGAGCCAGCUGCCCCUCUGGGCACUGAAGCUGCUUGCUACACCGAACCUGGCUUAAACGGUUCUCUGGUUAUGUGAUCUUAGGUGAGGUAUUUAGCUUUUAUUUCCUCCUGGGUGACCUCGGCACUGUUUCCUUCCUCACUCAUAGGGUGGAAUCAUGUGAUGAUAUUGGUGAAGACUCCUGUGUACUUAGCCUAGCACCCAGCAUAUGGACAGUGCUAGGUUGUUGGGUUAAAUCUCCCCUGAUCCCACCCAUCUUGUCCUUACUUCUGGCUGUAUCUGCUUUGCCACAGAUGGGAACACCCCAUUCUUGUGUAGGAAGCAAAUCUUUCAGCUUAGCAGGAAAGAAACAUGUGAUGUUUCUGCCACCCCUAGUUGAAUGCUGUGCCCAUCUCACAAUAGGGCUUGAUUUGGGUCAUUCUAUCUUCAACCACACACAAUGGGCUCCUCUGACUCUUCCAAUCCUCGGGGAGAAAGUUAACAAUUCUAAUUCCAAGAGCUCUGGGAAGACCCACCCACUCAGCAGGCAUUAUUUAUUUAUGCUUUAAUCUUUGUAGAUUACUCCAAGUUGCUUGAUGCUCUCCAGAAAGCCCCUGAGUAAAUGGAAGUUGUGCAUACACCCAAAGUAAUUAAUGCACUUUCUACUAGUGCAGGAACAUGUAAUUUGCAGGAAUGUGUGUCAAGACCCACCCUGCUAAAUUUAUACCCUGUAAUUUGCAACGUUCGCUGGCACCGAAUCUGUAGAGCAGUGAGCAGUGAGAGGAGCUUACCUGCUUCGCAAUUAUAUCUGCUGGCUGGUGUUGCAGGGUUGGGUAACUGGGAGAGAGGAGAUUUCAAUCACUUAAGUAAAUGAGAAGUGGCUCCCUGGGGCCCAUCUGAGAUGGCCCUCUGGUCUGAAGGCUGGUUAAUCAUGUUUCCUCUGUGCAGAGUUGAGAGCUGCUGAGGACGGAGGAAGGGAAGACUAGAAGGCACGGGUCCUGAGUGUAAAGGGACCUUCGGCUUGAGAGAGGUUUGUACAUCGUCUCCCCCUCAGAGAGCCUCCAGGAAAGAAACACAUGGGGCUAAUCGAACAGAAGUGGUUUAAUGGAAUAUUUUAUGAGCUGCAUCUGCCCUCAUCGCUGGCUUUGGGGAGAGUCCUGUUAGUUUUUAAGACUGGAAGUCACAUCUGUAGACCAGUGAGUUCUGUGAUGUCCUCGUAAACUUUCUUGGUUGGAGAAUCCUGUGGGAGAAUCAUUGCCGGCUGAAGUUCAGCCUUCUGGUUCUGCCCAGUGCUGGGAGGGAGAUGGGAGCCAAGGCAUGGCAGUUCCUACCUGAACGCCCGGUGUUCUGGAGACUGAGGCAAGAGGGUCUCAAGUUCCAGGCUACACAGGGCUACAUAGCAAGACCUUGUUUCAAAACAAAAACUGAAACAAAAUAAAACAAAACAUAUGCAGGGGUGGGCUGGCUGGGGUUCCCCAACACAGGAAUCCAGCGGAAGACGAUUUGAGGUUUAGUUAGCCCCAGCGCUGAAGAUUCUGUUUCUUCUGAAUGACAUUAGGUACUUACUGAACCUUGUGUCUUUCCCUCAUGUGUGGAAUGGAAGUAAUAGUAGCUCUGAUUGGCCUGGUUAUGAAAAUGAGGUGUUCGUAACGGUGCCUGGCACCCAGAGGACACACAGUAAACGGUCCGUUUUCAGGAAUGCCAUUUACAUUUGGAGAAGGCACCAUACUCAUUAAUUACAAACAUCCCUCGGCUACCCAAACCAGAAGUGGAAUGGGUAAACAAGCCAGGAAUCCUGUACUCUUUGAAAAUCCAUUUGAGGCUGGAAAAUGUGGAUUUGAUUCACACCAGGCUGUGAAUGAGAGGGGCCUGUAAAAGUCUCCACCAUCUUUACCUCAGGACUUUUCUAAGAUGCUGGGGGCCUUCUCUAGGGUUGGAAAAUAUAGGGAAGGCUAUGGAAUCUGGGUCAGGAGAGCCUUUCUCCCAGGAGAUGAUCCGUAAAUGAUCCUGUUACGAAUGUGGCUUUUCACCUUUGUGUCCGAGUCCAUGGACAGCUGAGCUUGGGGAAGAAGGUUCUUUUCUCUGUGCAUCUCUGUGUGGCUGCAUCUCCCACUACUAAAUACUUAUGGGCUGAUGAUGGCACCUGGGGAAGACCUGUGUUUAACUGACUGAAUAUUAAGAAGCAUGUUUAAGAGAAGCGGUCUUUGGCUUUUUUACAGCAAUGAAUUCAUUCCUGUUUGCUGCUCUUCUGCAGGAAGCUGUGCGGUCUGAGGGAGCGGGGCAGCUCUGUUUCCUUAUGGCUUUUCCAGCUUGGACUGGGAUUUCCUCUGAGGACUUAUUUAGGACAACAGCAACAACAACAACACCACCAAAAUACAUGUUUAUAGUGGUGUUGCCUCAGUGGAGAUUAGAGCCUUCUCUUGAAAUUUUAGUUAUGAAAAUAACAUACACUGUGUUUCUGUUUGCUUGAAUCGGAUGUAGUCUUAGCUUCCUUUUUUUCUUCAGUGGGUAUACUACCCUCCAAUACUACCCUCCAGAUGCUACCCCACCCCCCACCCCCCGACACACACACUGUGGCCAAGGCCCUGCACACAACUGGGUUUCUUAGCCUGGCUUCCUUGUAUGC
rnacentral:lncRNA from 1 species